GUGGGUGCCAAGAAAGAGGAACUGGAGUUGACCAUUGCAAAGCAUGCUCAGAUGGCAGCAGCAUAAUGGAUUAAGUAUACUGGGUCUUCAGUGGUAUUCAAGGAAUGCAUGCUUAUGGCAGUGUAAUUGUGUUUUUAUAGAUAUCUAUGAAUUUAGUAUGUUUAUGUAAGUGAUGAACUUUGUUCUUCAUAUUGCUACUUGUUAUGUGGUCGUAUGAGGAUUUUUAAUAUUUUCUUUUGCAUUGGCAUGCUCAAUUACAGAAGCAAGCUUUCUAUGUAGUAGAUUUGUGUUGCUUGUAUAGUUGUGGCUGCCAAGGGUAUGUGAAAGUGCCUCAUGGCGGUCUUCUGUUACCGUUAUCUUCGGAGAAACAUUUGUUCUUUUCAGUGCUUAGCCAACCCUGAUUGAUUAUCCAAACUCCAGUAUGCGUUGCCGCUCAGGGAUGCAAUAGCAAAGUGUGCCUCAUGUACCAUAGCCACUCUGCUAAUAUUUAUUAUUUUCAACACAUAAUAUCCAGGUGCCUGAUGGCAACCAGAGUCCCCAAGGAUUCUUAUGUAGGAAAUCUGCUAAACUAUUUGAAGAAGACGAUUCAUUUUCGUUAGAUACUUAAAA
rnacentral:misc_RNA from 1 species